GAUGAACGCUAGCGGCGGGCCUAAUACAUGCAAGUCGAGCGGAUGACGGGAGCUUGCUCCUUGAUUCAGCGGCGGACGGGUGAGUAAUGCCUAGGAAUCUGCCUGAUAGUGGGGGACAACGUUUCGAAAGGAACGCUAAUACCGCAUACGUCCUACGGGAGAAAGCAGGGGACCUUCGGGCCUUGCGCUAUCAGAUGAGCCUAGGUCGGAUUAGCUAGUUGGUGGGGUAAUGGCUCACCAAGGCGACGAUCCGUAACUGGUCUGAGAGGAUGAUCAGUCACACUGGAACUGAGACACGGUCCAGACUCCUACGGGAGGCAGCAGUGGGGAAUAUUGGACAAUGGGCGAAAGCCUGAUCCAGCCAUGCCGCGUGUGUGAAGAAGGUCUUCGGAUUGUAAAGCACUUUAAGUUGGGAGGAAGGGCAGUAAGUUAAUACCUUGCUGUUUUGACGUUACCGACAGAAUAAGCACCGGCUAACUCUGUGCCAGCAGCCGCCGUAACAC
rnacentral:rRNA from 1 species